GUUUCAGUACAAGCUGAAGCAGAACUCCAUGAUGCUGUGCCUGAGCUGAAAUGCAAGCAGCAUUCCCUGUGUGCCCCUCGUCCUGAGGGACCGUAGCCCAGCUUUGGUCUUCAUUUGCCUGAAUGAGGCUCCAGGAAGAUGGGAGUGGAGGAACAUUUGGCCUGGAAUAAGCCUGGGUGCCGGCUCAUUCCUACCCAGUGACAUUGAAGACGCGGACCACAGCCGCUUUGUCAACUGUGUGCGAUUCUCUCCUGAUGGGAACAGAUUUGCCACAGCCAGUGCUGAUGGCCAGAUAUACAUCUAUGACGGGAAGACUGGGGAGAAGGUGUGCGCGCUGGGCGGAAGCAAGGCCCACGACGGUGGGAUUUACGCAUUGGAGUCCCGACAGCACCCAUUUGCUUUCUGCUUCUGGGGACAAAACUUCCAAGAUUUGGGACGUCAGUGUGAACUCCGUGGUCAGCACAUUU
rnacentral:sRNA from 1 species